rnacentral:rRNA from 1 species
CCUACGGGCGGCUGCAGUGGGGAAUAUUGGACAAUGGGCGAAAGCCUGAUCCAGCCAUGCCGCGUGUGUGAAGAAGGCCUUCGGGUUGUAAAGCACUUUCAGUGGGGAAGAAAGCCUUGGGGCUAAUACCCUCGAGGAAGGACAUCACCCACAGAAGAAGCACCGGCUAACUCCGUGCCAGCAGCCGCGGUAAUACGGAGGGUGCGAGCGUUAAUCGGAAUUACUGGGCGUAAAGCGCGCGUAGGCGGUCUGAUAAGCCGGUUGUGAAAGCCCCGGGCUCAACCUGGGAACGGCAUCCGGAACUGUCAGGCUAGAGUGCAGGAGAGGAAGGUAGAAUUCCCGGUGUAGCGGUGAAAUGCGUAGCGAUCGGGAGGAAUACCAGUGGCGAAGGCGGCCUUCUGGACUGACACUGACGCUGAGGUGCGAAAGCGUGGGUAGCAAACAGGAUUAGAUACCCCUGUAGUC